ACAAGAAUCAAAACCCUAACGUUCUUAAUGAUCUUUCGCUCUCUCUCUCUCGUUCCCCUACCCCGCCCCCAAUCUGCCUCGCUACCUCCCCCGGUCUGGUGCGCCUCCGACAGCAUCCUUCCAUCAAAUCCUCCACCCCGACCUCCUUCUCUUCUCCGGCGUCGUUGGCCGCGGUGCCUGGAUCCAGCGAAGUCCUGCCUCCAUUUCUCCUCAUAUCUCAACAGAUUUUCACCUCUCUCCUUCUCAUCCCUCAAUUUCUCAGUUCAUGCCCUAACUCCGGCGAGGCUGGCUGCAAAUUGGCGAGGCAAUCGUCGUCCCCUGUUCUCACCUACUCAUUCACACGCACACGAUGAAGACAAGGGUUGAGCCCUGACCUCUCGGCUCGACUGCUGCAGCUCUGUCUCACGAGCGCCUUCGCCGUCGGCGCUGGGUUCUGAAAUUGACGAGGCCGUCGCGCUCCCCUCCCUGUGUUCGUUCGGCAGGUAAAGUAAGAAGAAGAAGAAGGGCCUUAAGCUCAAGAUUAAGGUCUCUAAUCCCUAUUUGAGGAGGUUAAUUAGCGGGGGGAUCGCGGGGGCGUUUCUAGGACUGCAGAGGCACCGUUGGAGACGAUUAGGACUCAUUUGAUGGUUGGGAGCAGUGGGAAUUCGAGCACUGAGGUGUGGAAGGGGUUGUUUAGGGGCAAUUUUGUCAAUGUGAUUCGCGUUGAGCCUAGCAAAGCCAUAGAGGAGAUUUCAACAAGGAUUUCUUUGUGACAUGGUCAGCUAACCAUGUUAAUGCAUCUGUGGAUGGCCAAAGCAGAAGCGCAAAGAAGGAUAUGAACGAAACAUGGAAGCCUACAACAGAUAAGUGAUAAUUGAUUGUUGUAGUCUAUUUGUGAUUUGCCUAUGCUAGUUGCUAGAGUGCUUAUGUGAACUUCCAUUGGCCAACUACAGUAUACUAAAGUGUCUUUUGAACAUUUUAAUAGGCUGGAGUUGCUGAUGAUGAUUCUUGUUGUUGAAGACAAAGAUUGUUUGGAAGGAAUCUUGACAGAUGGGGAUAUCAACGCUGGUUGACGAAAAAAGUUGGUGAAUCUUCUAGCAGUGAUUCAGAUGUAAAUACUUGCACUGUUUCCUCUAUCUUCACUCGUGGGAUAAGCUAUCAUGGGCGAGAACGUGGACCUUUGAUUUGUUAUCCAGAUACUGAUCUGGCAAUGGCAAAGCAGCUGAUGGAGGCAAAGGGAAUCAAACAGUUGCCUGUGAUUAAGCGUGUGGAAGAUUGUCAGAGAGAAAGGACAAGACGCAAGGUUGUGGGAAUUCUUUAUUGCGAUUCAAUCUGGACUUGUCUCAGAGAAGAACUUUAUCGUCAAAAGUUAGUCAAAUUGCAUGAAGAAGAUGACUCUGGGAAGAUGAUAGCGAUAACAAAUGGCCAUCAACGACAAAGUGUUUGAUGAAAUGCAAUCAACAUUUCAUAUGUGCGUGAGGCGAGAGGGAUCAAAGAGCUUACACCAAAAAAUCAGUUUUGCCCUGGGAUUUUGCAUCGGAAGGUGAAGGGGAUUUUUCUCAGUCCUACGUUUGAGCUUUUCUAUGCAGUAAACUGUUGGCUAUUUGACUCUAUUCAGCUUAAGCUCUUCUAUGUAGGUUAAGCUUGAAAAGAAGAGAAAGCCUAUCACUAAGGUUUGUGGUGGGUUAAAUGAGCCGUACGUUGAGUUGAAGAGGCUUGUGAAUUCAGAAAAAAAGUUGUACCAGAUGGCUAGCUAGUUGCAUAGUUAAUAUGUUUAGUAUUUUUGUAAGGCAUAAUAGUAUUAGAUAGAGCAGCUGUUGAAUUUUGACUACAUUCAAAUGGUGUAUGAAUUCUUUUUUAUGAUAAUAAUAUAUGAAUUUUGAUUA